UUCUCUCUUUUUCACUCUUCACCUCUUUUUGUUCCUUGUCAGAUCCCAGUCACAGUGUGGUUUUCAGUUACCUGCCUGCUUGUUACCAACCUGCAAUUUUGGACUCUCUGCCAACAGAAGCUCAAAACAGAGGGGGAUGCCAUUUAGCUCCAUAUCACCCUGCUCGCAGCUAUUUCCUCUGGUGGAGGAGACUUGAUGAAGUAAGCCUACUGGACAUAAAGUUAAGCCCAGUGAGAUAUUUUCCAAGAUGAAUGGUGUCCUAGAGGCCCUGUUCACCCCACAUGACAAACUGUACAGUGACUCUUCACUCUUCUCAAAUGUUAAUUGGAUAAAACCUGGCACCAUUGACAUACAGACUUCUCCAUUUUUUUCCUGAAUCAGAAUUGACUUAAUUGGACUGUAGUGAAAUAAUUUCCAUGACGACAUGCAGUCAUCAUCAGGUUUAUAUUGCUGUGCUUUCCAAUUGUUGUCACCUGUAUCUGAUGAUUAC